GGGGCACCACCAGGAGUGGAGCUUGCGGUUUAAUUUGACUCAACACGGGAAAACUUACCCGGCCCGGACACUGGGAGGAUUGACAGAUUGACAGCUUUUUUUUGAUUCAGGGGGUGGUGGUGCAUGGCCCUUCUUAGUUGGUGGAGCGAUUUGUCUGGUUAAUUCCGAUAACAAACGACACUCUAGCUUGCUAAAUAGACUGUUACUUACUUCGUUGUCGGCGUCUUCUUAGAAGAGAGGGAGACGCCGCGACUGAGCCGCACAAAACAGUGACAUGACUGGUCUGUCCUGGCCUUCGAUGGGCGCCGCCGCACGCCAGUGAUAUUGUAGUCAUCAACGUGCAUACGCUUUGCGUUUUGAACCGAGAAACCCACCGAACGAACCUUGUUGGUGUUAGGGAUCUGGCCUUGAACCUCUAGCCCGGGGGCGAGGAAUUCCUCGAUCGUGUGAGUCUUUUGUUUCUUUUCUCUCCCUCCUUGCUCUUUUCUACCAAUCGUAAGAUUGAUUAACUAAUUGAAU
rnacentral:rRNA from 1 species